UACGAAGGGGGGCUAGCGUUGUUCGGAUUUACUGGGCGUAAAGCGCACGUAGGCGGGUCGUUAAGUCGGGGGUGAAAUCCUGGAGCUCAACUCCAGAACUGCCUUCGAUACUGGCGACCUAGAGUCCGGAAGAGGUGAGUGGAACUCCUAGUGUAGAGGUGGAAUUCGUAGAUAUUAGGAAGGAACACCAGUGGCGAAGGCGGCUCACUGGUCCGGUACUGACGCUGAGGUGCGAAAGCGUGGGGAGCAAACAGG
rnacentral:rRNA from 1 species